GUGGGGAAUCUUAGACAAUGGGCGCAAGCCUGAUCUAGCCAUGCCGCGUGAGCGAUGAAGGCCUUAGGGUUGUAAAGCUCUUUCGUGGGGGAAGAUAAUGACUGUACCCCAAGAAGAAGCCCCGGCUAACUCCGUGCCAGCAGCCGCGGUAAUACGGAGGGGGCUAGCGUUGUUCGGAAUUACUGGGCGUAAAGCGCACGUAGGCGGACUGGAAAGUCAGGGGUGAAAUCCCGGGGCUCAACCCCGGAACUGCCUUUGAAACUCCCAGUCUUGAGUUCGAGAGAGGUGAGUGGAAUUCCGAGUGUAGAGGUGAAAUUCGUAGAUAUUCGGAGGAACACCAGUGGCGAAGGCGGCUCACUGGCUCGAUACUGACGCUGAGGUGCGAAAGCGUGGGGAGCAAACAGGAUUAGAUACCCUAGUAGUCC
rnacentral:rRNA from 1 species